ACGAACGCUGGCGGCGUGCCUAAUACAUGCAAGUUGAGCGAUGAAGAUUGGUGCUUGCACCAAUUUGAAGAGCAGCGAACGGGUGAGUAACGCGUGGGGAAUCUGCCUUUGAGCGGGGGACAACAUUUGGAAACGAAUGCUAAUACCGCAUAACAACUUUAAACAUAAGUUUUAAGUUUGAAAGAUGCAAUUGCAUCACUCAAAGAUGAUCCCGCGUUGUAUUAGCUAGUUGGUGAGGUAAAGGCUCACCAAGGCGAUGAUACAUAGCCGACCUGAGAGGGUGAUCGGCCACAUUGGGACUGAGACACGGCCCAAACUCCUACGGGAGGCAGCAGUAGGGAAUCUUCGGCAAUGGACGAAAGUCUGACCGAGCAACGCCGCGUGAGUGAAGAAGGUUUUCGGAUCGUAAAACUCUGUUGGUAGAGAAGAACGUUGGUGAGAGUGGAAAGCUCAUCAAGUGACGGUAACUACCCAGAAAGGGACGGUUAACUACGUG
rnacentral:rRNA from 1 species